CUUAAUAGUAUUUAGUAGUAUUAGGGGCUUAGCCCAGUUUAUUAUAGCCUAGAGGAGUUAUAUAGUCAUGUAAUCAACACCUUUGAGAUUAAGCAAAGAUCAAUCUGUUUUGAUCGGCUCCAACCAGGAGCCGGUGCCCUAACCCUAGCCGCGCCAAUCUCUCUCCCGAUCUCUGUCAGCCACGGCACCCCAGCAUCGUCGUCCGCCACUACCACCUCGCCAACCCUCCCCGCACCCUUACAACCUGCGAGCACGCCCUGGUAGGCAUCGUAUACCUACCAUUGGGGCCCUUGAU
rnacentral:lncRNA from 1 species